AUGAAAAGGCAUGCAUGCUUGUGUGUUCACAAGAGAAGAGCAUUUCUUUUAGCCGGUUGUAGGCAAACAGAUUACUUAUACCAUGUUUUGGCCUGCAGUAAUUGUUGGCCCCAGGCUUGGAGCAGGAGCUUGGGUAAUCACGGGAGAUGCGAAGCAGCGAGUGCGACAGUGCCAACGAAGUGCUUAAUCCAUGCAGGCUGGGAGAAGCAGAAGGAGAUGUUGCUCAUCCAGUUCCACCUUGUUCGUUUCAUGUCCCGUGCUGUUGCCCAGCUGGGAUCCUUGAGGACAAACACAUCACUGUGUCCUGGCCCCUCCCCAGGGCUGUGCAUGCACUGGCCAGUGAAGCAAGAGAGAGCAAAGUGGGAUGAUCUGUCACUACACCUGCAGCACCACGUUCGGAGGACAGCUCCUGCUCGCAGCUUCUAGACCCAGGUAAACCCCCCCCAAAACCGAAACAAUCCCCUCCCCCCACAAC
rnacentral:lncRNA from 1 species